GACGAACCGUGCAAACGUUAUUCGGAAUCACUGGGCUUAAAGGGCUCGUAGGCGGGCAUUCAAGUCCGCGGUGAAAUCCGGCAGCUCAACUGUCGAACUGCCGCGGAUACUGGGUGUCUCGAGGGAGGUAGGGGCGUGCGGAACUAUUGGUGGAGCGGUGAAAUGCGUUGAUAUCAAUAGGAACUCCGGUGGCGAAGGCGGCACGCUGGACCUCUUCUGACGCUGAGGCGCGAAAGCCAGGGGAGCAAACGGG
rnacentral:rRNA from 1 species